rnacentral:lncRNA from 1 species
UGCAAUGGGCUAUUCCAUUUAAUAUCCGUACCCCCCCUGUCGAGGAUACCUGGAAUUCUUCAGGGGUAGGGUGUUUUGAGCUUGGAAUUCUUCAGGGGUAGAUUGUUUUGAGCUUGGAAUUCUUCAGAGGUAAAGGAUUUUGAGUUUGGAAUUCUUCAGGGGUACAGUGUUUUUAGCUUGGAAUUCUUCAGGGGUACAGUGUUUUGAGUUUGGAAUUCUUCAGGGGUAGGGUGUUUUGAGCUUGGAAUUCUUCAGGGGUAAAGUGUUUUGAGCUUGGAAUUCUUCAGGUUAGAUUGUUUUGAGCUUGGAAUUCUUCAGGGGUACAGUGUUUUGACCUUGGAAUUCUUCAGGGGUACAGUGUUUUGACCUUGGAAUUCUUCAGGGGUACAGUGUUUUGAGUUUGGAAUUCUUAAGGGGUAAGUGAUUUUGAGUUUGGAAUUCUUCAGGGGUAGGGUGUUUUGAGCUUGGAAUUCUUCAGGGGUAAAGUGUUUUGAGCUUGGAAUUCUUCAGGGGUACAGUGUUUCGAGUUUGGAAUUCUUCAGGGGUACAGUGUUUUGAGUUUGGAAUUCUUCAGGGGUACAGUGUUUUGAGCUUGGAAUUCUUCAGGGGUACAGUGUUUUGAGCUUGGAAUUCUUCAGGGGUACAGUGUUUUGAGCUUGGAAUUCUUCAGGGGUAAAGUGUUUUCAGCUUGUAAUUCUUCAGGGGUACAGUGUUUUGAGCUUGGAAUUCUUCAGGGGUAGGGUGUUUUGAGCUUGGAAUUCUUCAGGGGUAGAUUGUUUUGAGCUUGGAAUUCUUCAGGGGUAAGGGUGUUUUGAGCUUGGAAUUCUUCAGGGGUAGGGUGUUUUGAGCUUGGAAUUCUUCAGGGGUACAGUGUUUUGAGCUUGGAAUUCUUCAGGGGUAAAGUGUUUUCAGCUUGGAAUUCUUCAGGGGUACAGUGUUUUGAGCUUGGAAUUCUUCAGGGGUAGGGUGUUUUGAGCUUGGAAUUCUUCAGGGGUAGAUUGUUUUGAGCUUGGAAUUCUUCAGGGGUAAAGUGUUUUGAGCUUGGAAUUCUUCAGGGGUAAAGGAUUUUGAGUUUGGAAUUCUUCAGGGGUACAGUGUUUUUAGCUUGGAAUUCUUCAGGGGUACAGUGUUUUGAGUUUGGAAUUCUUCAGGGGUACAGUGUUUUGAGUUUGGAAUUCUUCAGGGGUACAGUGUUUUGAGCUUGGAAUUCUUCAGGGGUAGGGUGUUUUGAGCUUGGAAUUCUUCAGGGGUACAGUGUUUUGAGCUUGGAAUUCUUCAGGGGUAGGGUGUUUUGAGCUUGGAAUUCUUCAGGGGUACAGUGUUUUGAGCUUGGAAUUCUUCAGGGGUACAGUGUUUUGAGCUUGGAAUUCUUAAGGGGUAGGGUGUUUUGAGCUUGGAAUUCUUCAGGGGUAGGGUGUUUUGAGCUUGGAAUUCUUCAGGGGUAAAGGAUUUUGAGUUUGAAAUUUCUGCAGGGGUACCCUAUGAUUGAUCUGAAUUUUUUUAACUAACUAACUGCACUCUUAAGGCCGUUUUCCAUUAACGUUUGCUAAAAAUGUUCUGCGUGAUUUAAGGUGGCUUAGUUGAAAACAAUGUAGUUGUGAAAGGACAAAGAGAAAUUCCGCUCCACGUGGAAAAUUCCGCCUAGUAGAAAACAAGCUUUAAAGCUCGAGUAAUACGAGCAACAAAAUUGCUGCAACUUGCAACAAAAUCUGAUUUCUACGCAUGUUAAUUGAAAAUACUUAACAUGCACAGAAAUCAGUUUUUGCUGCAAGGUGCAGCAAUUAUUACUCCACAUUUACACCCGUUUUUCUUUUUAAAUUACAUGGCACAUGGGGUUAGGCCAGUUAAAAUGAGGAAGCGGAACGAAAGGGGUUAAAGGCGGAACGGAACGAAUAUGAGGUUAAAACUUAAAACCAAUAUCCGUUCCGUUCUGCAUUUUAACCAUAUAUCCGUCCCACAUUUUAACCCCAUUUGUUCCGUAUUUUAAUCCCAUCCGUUCCGCAUCCGUUCCGCUUCCGCACUUUAACCUAACCCAUGGCACAUGUUUAUGUUACGCAAACUACUAUAAAUAGCAAUGUAAACAAAAGACAUUUUAAACCGUAUCUAACACCCCCCCCCCAAAAAAAAAAAUAUAUAUUGAGCCAAAAUAAGCUAGAUAUUAUCAGAGAAAAAGAAACAACACACCAUCAUUUAAACUUGGAUAAAACAAAAUUCAUGAUUUUUAAACCUAAACCAAAAUUAUUGGAAUUAGAUGUGAAACUACUAUUGAAUGAUAGAGAAAUUGAUCAAGUGAAAAAAAUCGUUUUCUUAGGAAUUAUUUUAGA